rnacentral:rRNA from 1 species
GAUGAACGCUGGCGGCGUGCUUAACACAUGCAAGUCGAACGGGAAUGCCACGCUGAUGCGAUUUCGGUCAAAUCUUGUGGCAUUUUAGUGGCGGACGGGUGAGUAACGCGUGGGUAACCUGCCUCACACCGGGGGAUAACACUUAGAAAUAGGUGCUAAUACCGCAUAAGCGCACGGGACCGCAUGGUCUUGUGUGAAAAACUCCGGUGGUGUGAGAUGGACCCGCGUCUGAUUAGCUGGUUGGCGGGGUAACGGCCCACCAAGGCGACGAUCAGUAGCCGGCCUGAGAGGGUGGACGGCCACAUUGGGACUGAGACACGGCCCAA